rnacentral:rRNA from 1 species
CCCAGACUCCUACGGGAGGCAGCAGUGAGGAAUAUUGGUCAAUGGCCGAGAGACUGAACCAGCCAAGCCGCGUGAGGGAGGAAGGUACAGAGUAUCGUAAACCUCUUUUGUCAGGGAACAAAGGCGGGGACGUGUCCCCGGAUGAGUGUACCUGAAGAAAAAGCAUCGGCUAACUCCGUGCCAGCAGCCGCGGUAAUACGGAGGAUGCGAGCGUUAUCCGGAUUUACUGGGUGUAAAGGGAGCGUAGACGGCCAUGCAAGUCUGAUGUGAAAACCCGGGGCUCAACCCCGGGACUGCAUUGGAAACUGUGCGGCUGGAGUGUCGGAGAGGCAAGUGGAAUUCCUAGUGUAGCGGUGAAAUGCGUAGAUAUUAGGAGGAACACCAGUGGCGAAGGCGGCUUGCUGGACGACGACUGACGUUGAGGCUCGAAAGCGUGGGGAGCAAACAGGAUUAGAUACCCCGGUAU